ensembl:lncRNA
CUGGGCAGCACAGAUGUCGUGAUGAUAGCUCAGCAAGGAUUCACGGGGAACGGACGGUGCACUCUCGCACUUGCUUUGUUUCAUGUGACAACAUUAGCUGAUCCGAGAAAAGAAUGCGUGGAUAAGGUCUUCUUGUCCUUACUUUACAGGAGACAGCAGCGGUGCACAAUAAACCCCUGAGUGGCUGCCCUUGGGGCACAUAUUUAGAGGCAGAUUGAGGACUAAGCACUGUGUGAGCGGUGAGGAUGAAAGGAACCGAAGAUAAGGAGUUGCAGAAAAACCUGAGCAGAGAAGAGGAAGCCUGCACAAAGCCAAUUUUGCUCUUUUCAUCUGGCUGAAAUCUAGUCAUCCUUCAAAAUGGUAGCGACACAAAAGAACUCAUCCUGACUCUCCUACACAGAUGUAGGAUGGCUCUUCUUGGCGCACCUGGAAAGAAUCCACACACCAGUAGGAGGUACGAGUUUGAUCCCUGGAUUGGAAAGAUCUCCUGGAGAAGAAAAUGGCAACCCACUCCAAUAUUCUCGUCUGGAAAAUCCCAUGGACUCCUCAGCCUGACAGGCUACAGUGAAUGCGGUUACAAAGUCAAACACGACUGAGCAACUAACAGCAACAACAAUUUCCCUGCACGUGUUAGGUCCCCACAUAAAGUUUUCUCUGUGCUUCUCUUUUACACAAUCCUUGGGACACUCAAAUGUUCGUAAUUCUGCUUUAUUAGGUGACUUCCUCUUUUGACUCUAAUCUCAUUGAAAGCAGAAAACCAACCCUUACCGUCCUCUCUUAUUCCUCUUGCUCUUCCUCUCCCUUCUCCUCCUCCUUCUUCCUUUUCUUCUUCUUUCUCCCCAUAUAUAUACAUAUAUGGUAUGUAUCGUAGAGUCACAAAAAUGCUUAUUGACUAUCUGAAUGACACACGCAGAAUACGCGCAGCACAAAACGUGACUAAGCCCAAAUACUGAGGCAGUUUGCUGGGUGGUAGCAAGCUGGGAAACCAGUAAAGUCUCCUGGAAAAUAUGUUGAAGUUUGUUGGAGAAACAGGGGCCAGAAAGCAAUGAGCACAGUGAUCAAGCUAGUACUCCUGAUAAUUGCAACAUUUAACUAGAUUCAAAAUCAAUGUGCAGCCUUGUGUGUAAGAUUCCUGCUUCCUUCAUUCCAUGUAUGUUCUGGAACCAAGUCCUAGCCUCCUGUCUCUCUGUCCAGUGCUCUAUUACCCCUACAUCCAUGAAUAUUCUAACAGGGAUAUAGAAUUGAGGGAUCACUACAGGGUAGACCAGAUAUCCACAGAGAAUCUAAAGUGGGCAAUUAAGUCUUGACUUUGUUUCAGGUGGGACUUCAGUGUCCACAGAAAUGAGAACAUUAGAAAGGCUGAGUGCAGAGGGGCCAUGGAAUAGGCCUGAAUUUAUAAAAGGAGGAGGUAUAGGAUGUUGACAGCAUUUCAUAAUGUGCCCGGAGGAGCAUAUCUCAGACCUACCCAGAGGCUCUAUGGCCAAGCCAGUUCCCAGAAGACCCAGUUCUAAACUGUUUUUAACUUGUGGCAGCUUUGCUCUUUCUUCCUGCAGACCUGGCUGUGCCUCACCUGAGGAAGAAAACCAUUCAGAAGCUACAAACCCUUUCAUCCCUCAAAUAUGCAACUAAUCCAUGUCACUCAAGGCCAAGCCUUUUCCCACCACUGAGAUUAGAGAGGACUGUCCAAAUCCGUCCCUGCCCUUUGGCACUGCCAUCCUUUAUUUCUCUGCAUCACUGCCUCUCCAUCUCUGGAAAUCACAUUGGAAGACUUCAUCUUCUCUCCCUUGUCACGGACUCCGAAUUCUCUUUUUGGCUGCCAAGUUGUGGUCUGGGACGCUAAAUGAUGCCACCACGUUCCUUCUGAAAUGGCACGUUUAACUCAUGUGGUGUUAAUGGAGUGAAUUCAAGUGAAUAAAAAGCUAUUUAUUGUCAAGUUUAGUUUUGGGAUUUGGGGAAGAAGGAAUAUGACUCUUUUAAGUCUUCUUCCUGGAUUUUGUAUUAAUUUUUUGUCUGUUAUUUGGUCCAGUACAUGCAUGCAUGAGAUGCUUAAAUAAUUUUGCAGUGGGAAAAAUCCAAAGAUAAUCUCAG